rnacentral:lncRNA from 1 species
UAGGCUCUCCCCUCUCCUGGUAUUGCUUUAAAUAUGUAGUGCAGUUAAACUCUUGAUUGUUUUUGUUGAAUCCAUCAGAUCUUUCAGGUUUCUAUAGUUUCUCUCGCAAUUAGAGUUUUUUUGGUUGAAUUUGUAUUCAGUAUGAUGCUUAUAUGGUAUUAGUAGAUCAGUAAAUAGUAGCAGUGAACAUUGUUUUCUCACUUCUCAGAGUGCUUAUUUGGUAUUCAGUGCAGUAAAACUCUUGCUAAUUUUUUGUUGCUGAAUCCAUCAGAUCUUUCUGGUUUGUACAGUGUCUGUCACAAUUAUGGAAUUCGUGUUGCACUUGAUGGAUUUGUCUUUCCAAUACAUUGCUUAUUUGGUAUUACUGUAAUAGAUUAAUAGAUUGGUACUUGGUAGCACUGAACAUUGUUCUCAGAGUUUAUUAGGUAGUUGACUUGGCUGUCGUAUAUGCUGGUGGAGGUAAAUAAAUAUGAAUUCUAUGAUGGAUAUGUUAUGUUAUGCUCAUUUCAUCUCACUUCACCAGAUCAUGAUUGAGCAUCAGAUUAAAUGUUUUUAAUCAGGUAAAAAUGAGGUAAUGAAGUAUCCAUGUAUAGGGUUCAAAAUAAUGCUUUACUGAGGUUAUGUCUAGGCCUUUGAUUAUCUCAACAAUGUGCCUGUUCAAGAGUCAUCCCUACAACACAACAAAAAGAAAUAAUCUGCUAUAAUUCCCUCACAUAUUAGAAUACAUUCCGCACACUCACAAUAUUGCCAAGACUAAUCUGGUGCAGUUAGGAUUUCAUACCAACAUGACUUUUUAAUUAAGUCUCCAAAUGGCAAGAAUCAAAAUUUUGCCAAGAAUAGGGAGUAAAACUAAUAGCAUUAACAGGGUCCUACUUGUAGACAUCNNNNNNNNNNNNNNNNNNNNNNNNNNNNNUAGUCUGGUCGUUUUCGUUGGUACUAGUCAUCAUGUGACAAAACUUAUAUGUCAUAGUUUGGUUAUUUAAAUUAUGAAAUUUAUGAUAAUAAACCCUAUUUAAAUUGUCUAAGCCAACGUCAUGAUGUUUGAAUUUUGAAGUUAGUAUUGUAAUCAUACAACAUUCUCAAGUCUCAACCAAACAACUCAAGCAUGUUAUAGUCUUAAAUCUUAAUCUAUGAUAAUACUGGUGAACAUGAACAUGAAAAUGCUGCUCAGCAUGCAAAGCAAACCAUCCCACACACUCUUGGGACAAUGACUUUGGCACGAUUGAAGCAUAGAUUGGUAAAUUAACUCAUUCUU